rnacentral:rRNA from 1 species
UACAGAGGUCUCAAGCGUUGUUCGGAUUCAUUGGGCGUAAAGGGUGCGUAGGCGGCGCGGUAAGUCGGGUGUGAAAUCUUGGAGCUUAACUCCGAAACUGCAUUCGAUACUGCCGUGCUUGAGGACUGGAGAGGAGACUGGAAUUUACGGUGUAGCGGUGAAAUGCGUAGAUAUCGGGAGGAACACCUGUGGCGAAAGCGGCUCACUGGACCAUAACUGACGCUGAGGCACGAAAGCUAGGGGAGCAAACAGG